GCCCGAUGACCGCUGGGAUAGGCUCCAGCAGACUUUUGCAGCAGUAAGGUGUCCCAGCCCCCGGGGUGACUGGGCCCAGUUUCUACACAGCCUACCGUUUCUAUCAACCAUCUCGACACCACUCUGUUACCCAGGCAGGAAUUCAAGAAUGUGUCUCCACUGUUUAAGAUGAUACAGUUUGGGCCUUUCACCCGAAUUCUGUUCAUCCUGUUCAUCGGCUGUUCCUGAGGUGGUCGUUAGAGAUGAACCAUGUUGAGGACCUCGUUGCAUGUCAGUACUUUGUAGCAUCCCGGAGACUCCAGCCAGAGACUCAUUUAAACAAUGAGCGUAUAUGUGUUUAAAAAUACAGCAAUUUGUCUCUUCAGUUCCCAAACGCUUACAGAUUGUUGGUAAUUGAAGAGGCAGUGCAGUAGUAAACAUGAACCUGUCCUACUUUUUUAAAUAUGUUGCCGGCAUCAAAUUCA